UGCACUAACAUCGCGACGAAAGAAGUGGGAGAUGAAAAGCAGAAAAGGAAUGCUGCUUCAAACUCCAAUUCAAAUUGUAUCAAUUACACACUUGUAAUCGAUACUAGAUAACAUCCUACUGCAAUGCUGCUUUAUUCUACAUGAGAGAGAGAGAGGGGGGGGAGGGGGAGAAAGAAAAGUGCUAACAAGUUGCACCUAUCAUUUUUAAGAAGAUUCGAUCAAGUUUUAUAUUUGAAAAUGUAAUGCAAGAAAUAAAAAAAAAUAGAAACGUGAAAAAAAUGUGGUUGUGAUGCACAAUUUUAUUCUCUGCGUAAGUGAAGAGUACAGAUAAUCCUUAUUAACUGUAAGUUCAGUUAAUACAGGCACCGCAGGUGUACUUGUUUUUUUUAGCCAUCUAUUUGCAUAAAUAGAGUAAAAACGUAAGCAAAUGUAAAAUAGGAAGUACAAUAUUAAAUGUUAGGGCAAUUAAUAAAAUCCCGAAGGAGAAAGCUAAAAAAAA